AUGUUGCACCUCCAUGCUUAUGUUAAUAUCAUGUUCAUGCAUUGUAAUUUGCAUCAUGUUAUUUUAUCAUGGCUCAGCAUAUUUGCAUUCAAGUUUAACCGGAUUAAAUUGAACUUGAACAACUAUUGGCUGAGUCAUGGUGCCACCAUAUCAAGCGGACCAGUGCAACCACGCUUGCCUUUAUGGGAAGGUCCUAACUGGGUCUAUUGUCGAGCUUCUCGCCGAUGUCUCCAACGAGGGAAGGUUAUGGGCGUGCGGUACCCUGGCCCGUUAAGCAGACAUAACCUUGUGUGCCUGUUGUUGUUAUAUCCGGAUUGUCCCCAUUUGGGACCGUUUUGCCACGAUGGUGGCCGUUGGUGCCUUUGGUAG
rnacentral:rRNA from 1 species